CUACGGGCUGCACCAGUGGGGAAUAUUGCACAAUGGGGGAAACCCUGAUGCAGCAACGCCGCGUGGAGGAUGACGCAUUUCGGUGUGUAAACUCCUUUUAUCAAGGAAGAAAUUUGACGGUACUUGAUGAAUAAGCACCGGCUAACUCCGUGCCAGCAGCCGCGGUAAUACGGAGGGUGCAAGCGUUACUCGGAAUCACUGGGCGUAAAGGACGCGUAGGCGGUUUGAUAAGUUGGAUGUGAAAUCCUAUGGCUUAACCAUAGAACUGCAUCCAAAACUGUCAGACUAGAGUGAGGGAGAGGUGAAUGGAAUUAGUGGUGUAGGGGUAACAUCCGUAGAGAUCACUAGGAAUACUCAUAGCGAAGGCGAUUCACUGGAACUUUACUGACGCUGAGGCGUGAAAGCAUGGGGAGCAAACAGGAUUAGAUACCCCCGUAGUC
rnacentral:rRNA from 1 species